GUAUGGCGAAUCCUUUGCUAAUUGAUUUUUGUUCUCUUUGUUUCUUUUUUUAUCAAGUUCUACUAUAUGAAUUGGAUGCAAUUCAGAAGGUUAGAAUUGAGUUAGUAAUUCGGCUGAGAAGAGACGUUAGUUGUGGAAAAUGAUUGACAUUAAUUUAGUUGUUAAGAAAAGUAAAUUGUUAGUCCUUAAUUUAGUAGCUCGAAUUAUGUUUUUUUUUUAGGUGUGAUUUAUGCACAAUGAAACUAACCUUUGGGUGCUAAGUUAGUUUAAAUUGAUAAAAAUAGUGUUAGAUUGGUAUAAUUUGAGCAACACACGCCUUGUAGACUUUCACUACCAUAGUUCAUAAUGAUAUUACUAUUUGUAGAGACCUACUAAAUAAUGAUUUGUCAUUCAUGAGCUCAAUAUUUAAGUUUGAAAGCUAAUUAAACUUUUCUUUCUUCACAGUUUCUUAUCAUUUGUAUUCUAUUAUGGCUGCUGCAAUAGUAACCUCAUGCUAUCAUUACAGUCAUGAAGUUUAUGUAACUAGGAUCUCGUCCAGAUACCUUUCUACACUGCAGAAUCAGAAAGAGCAGGAAAUUGCCGCUACGCAAGGAGGUUGCUCGCACCUUCGUCGACAACGUCAAGAGAGGGCACGAUAAAUGUAGCAUAUCGGGGAAAGCCAAGGAUGAAUUAUUCACUUGAAACUGAGUUGAUUGCAAUGACUCAAAUUAUGUACUUUGGAUGCUGAAAUUGGUCCUCUUAUAUUCUGUUUCUGAAGUCUGAAUGCGAACCCUCCGUGAGACCACCGUGAGGCAACGCGAAAGUUGUUUGCUACCACAGCAUCACUAUCUUCAAUCAAUGGCUCCAGGUGCAGUGGGAGAUGUGAUUCCAGACGGAGCUUAAUUUUGUUGCCCUUAUUUAUUGUCAUUUGUGUGUGUGCUAUAGGUCUGGGGUUUUUGAUGAUUGAGUCCAUUCGUUUUUUUAAGUAUCCUAAUAGUUAUGUUUUUCCAGGUAACCGAAUAAGAAGAGUCAAGAAGAUGGUAGCACUAAUUAAGGAUUAUGAAGCAACAUCAAUAACUAGGAAAUGUUUAGAUAUUUUAAGAACUUAUUUUGCCAUAAUGUUUUGUAUGUUUAACCACUAUACUAAUGUUUAUGUUUUAGUUUUUCAAUGUUUGAACUACAUUGAUUUUUUUUC